rnacentral:lncRNA from 1 species
GCUUGGUUGUAACGCCCGGGCGGGCCCGGCCCGGGGAGCGGGGCUGGGGCGGGGGGCGCGGGGGGACCCGGCAGGGCCCGGAGGGGCGCGCCGCUGCACGCCCGAGUUACAUGGCCCAGUUUGUCUUACACCGUUAGGUGUUGCCCCUGCCUGUGGGUUAUGUUUCUGUGAGAAACCGUGCGGCGGUGCGCCCGUGCGCGAAGUCAGAACCUCUCUAAGGAGUUAAAAAUGUGACUCAGUGACAGCUUAAGCAGCCUCCAGUAUCUUCUGGCAUCUCAUUCGCACCACUUGGGGAACCCAGAAGCCUAUCUGGGAAGUAAUCUGAGUUGGAAACAGUACACCAAGAAAAAAACAGUUGCUUUUAACCUGGAUCAACCUGGCCCUCUGCACCAUCACACAGAGAAGUUAGGUCUCUCCAUGCACAACGGAGCCAGGAGGAGCCAAAAACUGGGGAACCCUGAAUGCGCAUACCACAACCUGUUUGCUGUCGUACAAACACACUUUGCAAAAGAUUCCUGCUGUAAAGCAAGGUCUUGGGGAAGGACAGAACAAAUAUGGGAGUUGAACUAAGCCAUUGAUGGAUAACUAAUAAAUGCUGUUUGAGAAAGUUCA